rnacentral:rRNA from 1 species
CCGGUACUGUCAUUAUCAUCCCUGGUAAAAGAGCUUUACGACCCUAAGGCCUUCAUCACUCACGCGGCAUUGCUGGAUCAGGGUUUCCCCCAUUGUCCAAUAUUCCCCACUGCUGCCUCCCGUAGG